rfam:Cavia porcellus supercont2_10 genomic scaffold, whole genome shotgun sequence.
AUCCUUCGGUUCAUGAGUGUGAUGAUUGGCUGUUCAUGCCAUGUGUGUCAGAUGUGCCUCCCUCAAACCUUGUUACAACAUUGACACAUUACCCGUCUGAUG